AAGACAUUCUGGACACCAGCACUUCUGAUGGUCACCCAGAGAAUAGUGGUGUUACUGACACAGGUCUUUCUGGAUGAACUUUUCUACUGAGAGAAAUAGCCACACUUGGGCUUGAGCCAAAGAAGUUAAAAGAACAGAAUUCUGAGCAGUAUCCCAAGAGAAUACCUCUUGCUCCUUGCCUCAAUACAGGUGGUGGAGAACGUAGUCCACACGUGCUAUGGCAGGCUGUUUGUUAUCAUUGCAAGCUCUAAAAGUUCACUCCCCAUCACUGAGAGGGACAUCCUCAUAUAAUUCCUGGGAGCUUAUAGAAGUGAUUCCAGGACUUCAAGUUAGUAUUUCUGAUCCAGGCCCAUGUCAAAUACUUUCUGGGAACUCCUGGAUGUAGACCUGACUUCCAGGAAGAAGGUGGAGUGGUGAAUAGCAGAGAAAGAGCCUCUCUAAGAUUUGGUGUCCAGAUGCUGUAAUAUAGCAAUGUGAGGAUGAGAA